UGUAAUCCUUCAAACAUGAACAACACUCCAGGAGACGGACCGAAACACUACUGGUGUACGCUUGAAGGCAAAGCAUCCUGUAAGAGACGGCUGCAGGAGACAGAAAACAACAGGAACAACCAACAAAAUCCGAACACAGGCUUGGGAUCCUGAGGCAGAGACAGUAAUCCAGACACGGAGACUAAACCUAAGGCAAGAGGAGAGAGAAAGGUAAAUGACCGCGAAUAGCGAUCUACCUAGACUGGCAGCAAGACAGUGAUCUUCCAACAUAUGACGAGCGCGUGACAGAAGACAAAGCAGAAAGGUAUUAAUAGGCAGAAAGGAAACUGGACGCGGCUGGAGAAUAAUUAGAGAAACGAGAGGGAGGGGUAAAUGCGCACAUGAGGACCCAUCACCAACAGAGGUAAACACAAAUGUCACAAGGUGACGAUCUUUUGGGCGGAACCAAAAGUCGGGAAACUUUGGUUCCGCCCGGAUGUUUCCGCCCAGACCGAAGAACGGAAACACCGGACAUCCGGCAGAUUCGCGGAGGCUGUAAUCAGCCGAUUGGGCACAGCUGUGCCUAGUUGAAGAGAUCGCUGGGCAAUUGGAUGACUGAAGUACAGAGAGGAGUAUAUAAAGCACAGUUAGAUCACAGUUCGGGAGUUCGGGCACGAGAGGGGGAUUGACACGGGGAGAGCUCCUCUGCUUAGGGCAGGAGAGGUAACUACGUACCUUUUGAAGAGCCCGCAGGCUCUGUUGAUCCGGGCUGCGCUUGAAGCGCGCGGAAAGAAGACAGGAGCUGCCUGGGGUGAAAGAAAGGCGAUACGUGAGUGGAGAAAAGGAGCACCCCGAGGAGAGCAUUGUGCUGUCAAGCCUGUGCUUAGUGUGUGCUGGGAAACGGAGCUGUGCUCAUUUUUGGACGUGGUGGCUGUCUGUGUUUCUCUCUCUCUCUCUCGUUUCAGUCUGUAUUGUGGACCUGCUGGAGUAAACAGGAAAGCCCUAUGGGUAAGAAGGAACUUUGUUCUAACCAAUACUGAAGGAGUAAAGCAGGAAGAGAUAUUGACCGUCUGGUACAACGUAAAUAAAGGCUACCCGCCGUGAGUAUACCCUUUCUGUGUGGAGUAACUGGCAAAAAUUAACUUGUGUAGCCAUUGGAAACCUCCAGGAAAAGGAGGGCGGCCCUACCCCUACAAGAGUGUGGUGGGCGAGCCGUUAGAAGUACACAUUCAAACAGCCGCCGCAACGAGACUUAUUGUGGUCGUAUUUCCCAUCGCCUUAUCGUAGCCCAAGCGCAGUGGAGGACACCGGGCGCUUCCCUUGUUGUGGUGCACUUAUAGUGUGGUGAGUGAGACUGUGUAAUAAAUCUUUUCACGUUGGAGUGGUGCUGUGUAUUUGCUGUGGGUUGCUGUGUGUCUUGUAGACGAAGCCCCGCAUCAUCCAUUUUCUUCCACUGGGCAGAGGACGGAGAGGCCAACGACCUCAGAAACUACUGUUACUAUUUGUAGUGUGCUGUUUGGAGUACGAAGGGACGCAGACUAAGAGCUGCCCGUGACCGUGAGUAAAUAUUGGAAAUAUUCGUGGUGUAAAUUUACCUGUGUCUGUUUUGUCGCAGAGUCAGAGGCGAAAGGGUCCGCCGCCCCCGCGGUCUCUACAAAGGGGCGCCCCUGUCCAGGAUUCGAUCGGCCUACGGGCAUUGGAGAUAGGGCAGCGCUCGACCCGGUGAGGUGGUGUGUGACCUUCGCCCCUCUGCUGACUUACAGAGAAGAACCAUACUUACCCAGAAAGCUGUAAACAGCAGAGCCGCGGCCACCUGUGGAGAGAGAGCAGAACGAGAGUGAAUAAUAGAAGAACAAACUGUGAACGUGAUACCUACCCAGAAAGCUGUAAACAGCAGAGCCGGUGAGAGAUACUCGAAGUCUCAGUAACAGUGUCUUUGUGUCCUAGCGGCCACCUGUGGAGAGAGAGCAGAACGAGAGUGAAUAAUAGAAGAACAAACUGUGAACGUGAUACCUACCCAGAAAGCUGUAAACAGCAGAGCCGUGGCCUCCUGUGGAGAGAACGGAAAACGAGAAGGAACAUGAGGAGAAUGGACUGUGUGAAGAUACAGUGGUGGUGGAGGAGAGCCUAGAGUGGCCAUUGUUUUAAGUCCCCCGGUUCCCCUUCCCUAUUUAAUAUUUUUAAGUAAUUUAAUAAAGGAUAUUUUAAUUUUAUGCUUACCUUGUGUGUCUGGUCAUUGGGGUGGCUUUGGGAAUCUCCUCGAGGUGGAGAAAGGGGCGUGACCUUAUUUACAUCUGGGUCCACCCCUACCUGUGACAGAUUUGGCGUAGUCGGCAGUCCACCUCGGGUUGAGACCAAGGUCCCCCAAUGGCCUACCACGUUUUUUAAAGAAAAGCUCCCAUCAACACCCUAUCAGUCCCUAAACAACGCGUUCUCGGGACGAGAACGGAUUGGCGGGGGAGGAUGUCACAAGGUGACGAUCUUUUGGGCGGAACCAAAAGUCGGGAAACUUUGGUUCCGCCCGGAUGUUUCCGCCCAGACCGAAGAACGGAAACACCGGACAUCCGGCAGAUUCGCGGAGGCUGUAAUCAGCCGAUUGGGCACAGCUGUGCCUAGUUGAAGAGAUCGCUGGGCAAUUGGAUGACUGAAGUACAGAGAGGAGUAUAUAAAGCACAGUUAGAUCACAGUUCGGGAGUUCGGGCACGAGAGGGGGAUUGACACGGGGAGAGCUCCUCUGCUUAGGGCAGGAGAGGUAACUACGUACCUUUUGAAGAGCCCGCAGGCUCUGUUGAUCCGGGCUGCGCUUGAAGCGCGCGGAAAGAAGACAGGAGCUGCCUGGGGUGAAAGAAAGGCGAUACGUGAGUGGAGAAAAGGAGCACCCCGAGGAGAGCAUUGUGCUGUCAAGCCUGUGCUUAGUGUGUGCUGGGAAACGGAGCUGUGCUCAUUUUUGGACGUGGUGGCUGUCUGUGUUUCUCUCUCUCUCUCUCGUUUCAGUCUGUAUUGUGGACCUGCUGGAGUAAACAGGAAAGCCCUAUGGGUAAGAAGGAACUUUGUUCUAACCAAUACUGAAGGAGUAAAGCAGGAAGAGAUAUUGACCGUCUGGUACAACGUAAAUAAAGGCUACCCGCCGUGAGUAUACCCUUUCUGUGUGGAGUAACUGGCAAAAAUUAACUUGUGUAGCCAUUGGAAACCUCCAGGAAAAGGAGGGCGGCCCUACCCCUACAAGAGUGUGGUGGGCGAGCCGUUAGAAGUACACAUUCAAACAGCCGCCGCAACGAGACUUAUUGUGGUCGUAUUUCCCAUCGCCUUAUCGUAGCCCAAGCGCAGUGGAGGACACCGGGCGCUUCCCUUGUUGUGGUGCACUUAUAGUGUGGUGAGUGAGACUGUGUAAUAAAUCUUUUCACGUUGGAGUGGUGCUGUGUAUUUGCUGUGGGUUGCUGUGUGUCUUGUAGACGAAGCCCCGCAUCAUCCAUUUUCUUCCACUGGGCAGAGGACGGAGAGGCCAACGACCUCAGAAACUACUGUUACUAUUUGUAGUGUGCUGUUUGGAGUACGAAGGGACGCAGACUAAGAGCUGCCCGUGACCGUGAGUAAAUAUUGGAAAUAUUCGUGGUGUAAAUUUACCUGUGUCUGUUUUGUCGCAGAGUCAGAGGCGAAAGGGUCCGCCGCCCCCGCGGUCUCUACAAAGGGGCGCCCCUGUCCAGGAUUCGAUCGGCCUACGGGCAUUGGAGAUAGGGCAGCGCUCGACCCGGUGAGGUGGUGUGUGACCUUCGCCCCUCUGCUGACUUACAGAGAAGAACCAUACUUACCCAGAAAGCUGUAAACAGCAGAGCCGCGGCCACCUGUGGAGAGAGAGCAGAACGAGAGUGAAUAAUAGAAGAACAAACUGUGAACGUGAUACCUACCCAGAAAGCUGUAAACAGCAGAGCCGGUGAGAGAUACUCGAAGUCUCAGUAACAGUGUCUUUGUGUCCUAGCGGCCACCUGUGGAGAGAGAGCAGAACGAGAGUGAAUAAUAGAAGAACAAACUGUGAACGUGAUACCUACCCAGAAAGCUGUAAACAGCAGAGCCGUGGCCUCCUGUGGAGAGAACGGAAAACGAGAAGGAACAUGAGGAGAAUGGACUGUGUGAAGAUACAGUGGUGGUGGAGGAGAGCCUAGAGUGGCCAUUGUUUUAAGUCCCCCGGUU